rnacentral:rRNA from 1 species
UACGAAGGGUGCAAGCGUUACUCGGAAUUACUGGGCGUAAAGCGUGCGUAGGCGGUUUGUUAAGUCUGUCGUGAAAGCCCCCGGGCUCAACCUGGGAAUGGCGAUGGAUACUGGCGAGCUAGAGUACGGUAGAGGAGAGUGGAAUUCCCCGGUGUAGCAGUGAAAUGCGUAGAGAUCGGGAGGAACAUCAGUUGCGAAGGCGGCUCUCUGGACCAGUACUGACGCUGAGGCACGAAAGCGUGGGGAGCAAACAGG